rnacentral:rRNA from 1 species
GACGAACGCUGGCGGCGUGCCUAAUACAUGCAAGUAGAACGCUGAAGGAGGAGCUUGCUUCUCUGGAUGAGUUGCGAACGGGUGAGUAACGCGUAGGUAACCUGCCUGGUAGCGGGGGAUAACUAUUGGAAACGAUAGCUAAUACCGCAUAAGAGUGGAUGUUGCAUGACAUUUGCUUAAAAGGUGCACUUGCAUCACUACCAGAUGGACCUGCGUUGUAUUAGCUAGUUGGUGGGGUAAGGGCUCACCAAGGCGACGAUACAUAGCCGACCUGAGAGGGUGAUCGGCCACACUGGGACUGAGACACGGCCCAGACUCCUACGGGAGGCAGCAGUAGGGAAUCUUCGGCAAUGGACGGAAGUCUGACCGAGCAACGCCGCGUGAGUGAAGAAGGUUUUCGGAUCGUAAAGCUCUGUUGUAAGAGAAGAACGAGUGUGAGAGUGGAAAGUUCACACUGUGACGGUAUCUUACCAGAAAGGGACGGCUAACUACGUGCCAGCAGCCGCGGUAAUACGUAGGUCCCGAGCGUUGUCCGGAUUUAUUGGGCGUAAAGCGAGCGCAGGCGGUUAGAUAAGUCUGAAAUUAAAGGCUGUGGCUUAACCAUAGUAGGCUUUGGAAACUGUUUAACUUGAGUGCAAGAGGGGAGAGUGGAAUUCCAUGUGUAGCGGUGAAAUGCGUAGAUAUAUGGAGGAACACCGGUGGCGAAAGCGGCUCUCUGGCUUGUAACUGACGCUGAGGCUCGAAAGCGUGGGGAGCAAACAGGAUUAGAUACCCUGGCAGUCCACGCUGUAAACGAUGAGUGCUAGGUGUUAGACCCUUUCCGGGGUUUAGUGCCGUAGCUAACGCAUUAAGCACUCCGCCUGGGGAGUACGACCGCAAGGUUGAAACUCAAAGGAAUUGACGGGGGCCCGCACAAGCGGUGGAACAUGUGGUUUAAUUCGAAGCAACGCGAAGAACCUUACCAGGUCUUGACAUCCCUCUGACCGCUCUAGAGAUAGAGUUUUCCUUCGGGACAGAGGUGACAGGUGGUGCAUGGUUGUCGUCAGCUCGUGUCGUGAGAUGUUGGGUUAAGUCCCGCAACGAGCGCAACCCCUAUUGUUAGUUGCCAUCAUUUAGUUGGGCACUCUAGCGAGACUGCCGGUAAUAAACCGGAGGAAGGUGGGGAUGACGUCAAAUCAUCAUGCCCCUUAUGACCUGGGCUACACACGUGCUACAAUGGCUGGUACAACGAGUCGCAAGCCGGUGACGGCAAGCUAAUCUCUUAAAGCCAGUCUCAGUUCGGAUUGUAGGCUGCAACUCGCCUACAUGAAGUCGGAAUCGCUAGUAAUCGCGGAUCAGCACGCCGCGGUGAAUACGUUCCCGGGCCU